rnacentral:rRNA from 1 species
UACAGAGGUGGCAAGCGUUGUUCGGAAUUACUGGGCGUAAAGGGCGCGUAGGCGGCCUUCUAAGUCAGACGUGAAAUCCCCAGGCUUAACCUGGGAACUGCAUCCGAUACUGGAUGGCUUGAAUCCGGGAGAGGGAUGCAGAAUUCCAGGUGUAGCGGUGAAAUGCGUAGAUAUCAAGUGGAACACCAGUGGCGAAGGCGAGUCUCUAGACAUUUCCUGACGCUGAGGCACGAAAGCCAGGGGAGCAAACGGG